UCACACCAACUAAUACUCAUACAGCUGAGCUCAGUGUUUUAAAGAAGUCUAAAUCAUGACGAGGAAUGAUGAAGCGGAAUGUUUGUUUACUUAUUGACGAAAACCAAAGCAGAAUGUGUCGGAUGAUUUAGGAGGAGAUUGCAGGCUAGGAUGACGGGAGGAUAUUGGCGAGGAAGUACGCUGUCCGGUUGAUUCGUGGUGAGCCGUGUUUCUAGCAGGAACGAGUGGCGGAGGAGUCGAAGACAUUGCUCCCAUAGAGUGUGUCGACGGCGAAUACUGAUACGUUUGAGGAACAGGCGAAUUGGCCGUGGUGCCAGAUGAAAGAGGAUAGUUGUCCGAACUUCUUAGGCGAAAGCGUUCAGGUAUUUUUGGAUAGGUAUUGGUUCUGCACAUUACAUUAAUAACAUUAGCACAAAAGAACGUAAAAUUAGGUACCAAAUUAUAGAAGACAUACCUAGUAGCAGGAUUGCCCGAUUGUACUUGAAUUUGCUGCUGUAUCACGGCAGGACUGCUGCCGGUCCGUGAAUGAUUCGGAGUACCAGUGGAAGAAAUCUUAACAAUAAAUGCACCAUUAAUACAAUGUACAAUUUCAACUAACGAA